rnacentral:rRNA from 1 species
UGGGGAAUAUUGCACAAUGGGCGCAAGCCUGAUGCAGCCAUGCCGCGUGUGUGAAGAAGGCCUUCGGGUUGUAAAGCACUUUCAGCGAGGAGGAAGGUGGUGAGCUUAAUACGCUCAUCAAUUGACGUUACUCGCAGAAGAAGCACCGGCUAACUCCGUGCCAGCAGCCGCGGUAAUACGGAGGGUGCAAGCGUUAAUCGGAAUUACUGGGCGUAAAGCGCACGCAGGCGGUUUGUUAAGUCAGAUGUGAAAUCCCCGGGCUCAACCUGGGAACUGCAUUUGAAACUGGCAAGCUAGAGUCUCGUAGAGGGGGUAGAAUUCCAGGUGUAGCGGUGAAAUGCGUAGAGAUCUGGAGGAAUACCGGUGGCGAAGGCGGCCCCCUGGACGAAGACUGACGCUCAGGUGCGAAAGCGUGGGGAGCAAACAGGAUUAGNUACCCUGGUAGUCACGCUGUAAACGAUGUCGAUUUUGGAGGUUGUGCCCUUGAGGCGUGGCUUCCGGAGCUAACGCGUUAAAUCGACCGCCUGGGGAGUACGGCCGCAAGGUUAAAACUCAAAUGAAUUGC